rnacentral:rRNA from 1 species
UACGUAGGGUGCGAGCGUUGUCCGGAAUUAUUGGGGCGUAAAGAGCUCGUAGGCGGUGUGUCACGUCGGCCGUGAAAACCUGCAGCUUAACUGUGGGCGUGCGGUCGAUACGGGCAUCACUGGAGUUCGGCAGGGGAGACUGGAAUUCCUGGUGUAGCGGUGAAAUGCGCAGAUAUCAGGAGGAACACCGGUGGCGAAGGCGGGGUCUCUGGGGCCGAUACUGACGCUGAGGAGCGAAAAGCGUGGGGGAGCGAACAGG